rnacentral:rRNA from 1 species
UGCAAAUCAAUAUAAAUUGAAUUAUAAUUUAUUUAUUAAUUUUAUUUGUAAUGUUUAUUUAAUUUUAUUAAAAGUAUUUAUAUAAAAUAUAUGUUUUAGUAGUUAAAUUGAAAAAAUAAAAUUUAUGAUAGUUUAUUUGUAUUGUGAAAGAUAAUUGAAAUAUAUUGAAAAAUAUUUAUUUUAAAAGAAGAUUUUAAUUUUUGUACCUUGUGUAUCAGGGUUUAUUAAAUAAUUAAUAAUUAUUUAUUAAUCUCGAUUUUAUAAGAGUUAAUAAUUUAUGAAAGUUAAUGUUUUAUAAUUAUUUUUAAUAAAUUAUUUGAAAUGAAAUGUUAUUCGUUUAUAAAUAUAUCUAGUUUUUUUAGAAAUAAAUUUAAUUUACUAAUUUUUAAUUUUGUUUAUUUUUUAAUUAAUAAAUAAAAUUAUAAAUUUGAAUAUUUUUAGGGAUAAGCUUAAAAAUGAAUUAUUAUAAGUUAAAUUAAUUUUUUUUUUAAAUGUAUGCAUAGAAUUAGCAAUUAUUAAUAAUUUUGUUAUAAAUUAUAUAAUGUUUAUAUAAUAAAUAUUAUUUAAUUGAUACUUUGAUUUUUUAUAAAAAAUUUUUUUUUAUUUUAUUAUAAAAAUAAAUAAUGAUAAAAUUAGUAUAUAAAUUAUUUAAUAAUAAUUUUUUUUUAUUUGAUAAGUUUUAUAUAAAGAACUCGGCAAAUAUUUUACUCGCCUGUUUAACAAAAACAUGUCCUUUUUGAGUUAAUUUUAAAGUCUAACCUGCCCAAUGAAUUAAUUUUUAAUGGCCGCAGUAUUCUGACUGUGCAAAGGUAGCAUAACAUUAGUCUUUUAAUUGAGGGCUUGUAUGAAUGGUUGGACGAAGUAAAUUCUGUUUCAUGAAAAUUUAUUAUAGAAUUUUAUAUUUUAGUAAAAAAGCUAAAAUAUNAUUAAAAGACGAGAAGACCCUAUAAAUCUUUAUAAUUUUAAUUAUUUUAAAUUUUUAGAAAUUUUUUUGGUUUAAUAGUUAUAAUUAUUUUAUUGGGGUGAUAUUAAAAUUUAAUAAACUUUUAAUUUUAAAAAUUUCAUUAAUUUUUGAUUUAUUGAUCCAUUAAUAAUGAUUAUGAGAAUAAGUUACUUUAGGGAUAACAGCGUAAUUUUUUUGGAAAGUUCUUAUUGAUAAAAAAGUUUGCGACCUCGAUGUUGGAUUAAGAUAUAAUUUUAGGUGUAGUUGCUUAAAUGAAUAAGUCUGUUCGACUUU